rnacentral:lncRNA from 1 species
GGACUUCUUCCUCGACCUCUUCCCAUCCUCUCCCUUCUCUCAGACCUAACAGAUGGUGCGUGUGACUCAACGGCAGUCUGACAUACGUACAUUCACCAGUGAAGUUGUCCUGGCUAAAACACCUGGCAUCAGUGUCUACCUGGGCAUCAACCUUCAUCCCGUUGACUCCCCUAGGCUCCAAUACUGCACCCCCUACCAGCAGGAAGUAGUUACAGAGAGAAAUCUUUGCCCCUUUUCCUAAUAAUCAUAAGACGGGAUAUGAAAGAGUUGCUGGCCCAGACCGGACACUUUAACCAGGUAAAGCGGCAGCCAAGUUA